UACGUACUCCCUUCGUUCGGAAUUACUUGUCGCAGAAAUGAAUGUAUCUAGACAUAUUUUAGUUCUAGAUACAUCCAUUUCCAAGACAAGUAAUUCCGAACGGAGGGAGUAAUUG
rnacentral:pre_miRNA from 1 species